AAAAGUUCUCACCUCGUCUCGUCUUUCGCCUAAAAUCAUAGGAUUUCAUUUUGCCUUAGUGUUGCCUUCCUGUAACCUUACUGUCGCCUUUUCGCCUUGAUAACACCGAGUAUAAUAAAAUAUACAUGAUAACACAUGCAUUCUAAACAAUUGCAUACAAUUAACAAAUUUUGAUUUGAAUGAGAAAUUCUUACAUGAACGGAGGAAGAUUAUAGCUUAAAAAUAUCACUUGUACAUAUGAUUUUACCUCUAAAAAGGAAAAAAAAAUGGUGAACCUAGAAUAAUAAUAAUAUUAUUAAAAAUAAAAAUAAAGAAGAAGAAGCAAGUGUUGGUGUGGGAACAAUUUGAUGCAUAGAAUGGUUGAUGACUAAUGAGAAAUUCUUGAUAAGAGCAUCACAUGGUGCUCGUCUCUGGGACACACCAGCAGCAGGCAACGGCCAGCAUAACGUACCCGCCAUGUCCAAACCAAUGAGUUUGUUUUGGGGAUGCCCAAACAUGAAUAUAAUACUCACUAAUCUAAUGGAUUCAUUCUUUGAUGAGGUAAGAUAGAAUUGGGGGUGUGCAAUUGUCUGUAGCUUGGAAUUCCAAGAUUCCACGUUUAGCUUAGAUGUUUUAUUGUUUGGAAAGGGACUAGAGCAUCAUCAAAAUCCAAAGAAGCAGCAGCAGCAGCUUCAAAGUAACGCAUAGCAUAAUUCCCUUAAAUCAGAUACGAAUCUCUUAAAUCCAUUUACUCUUGGUGAGAAGAAGAGAACCAAAGAGAAAUGGUGUUAUCUUUCUCUGAAUAUAUAUAAAAGAACAUAGAGGAAAUGUACUCAUCCUUGCAAUUACAUGACAUGAACAAAGGAACAAUUGACUGUUAUGUUACAAUUAUAACCUUUUUUUAGAUGCCUAAGUUCCAAAUGCGUGAAACAAUCAACAAAAUAUGAGACCUGAGCAUCUAGAGAAAGGUAUACACAGCCUACAAAUGAAGUGCCAAAAUUAUCAAAGAUUAAACCGGAGGCUUAUAUGAUUUUAAUGUAGUAAUGGAAAGCAAAGAGUCAAAGCAAGAAACCAGACAAUCAAUCAAUAAACAAUCAUGACCUUAAAGAUAGCUUCAAGUUCCACAAAUGUCAUACAUAUCAGUUAAGUUGUUCCAUAGCAAACCGUAAGUUCCAUUGCCCAUUAAAUAGCGAAAAACACUAAGGUUAGAAUGAACCAACGAAAUAAAAGCCUAAAGAAACAUCUAAAAGUGGCAAAAAGCACUUCCAAUUAACAUCAACUGACUCAUGAAUCCAUUACCGAUCCCGAGGAUCAUACAUCAUCUGGAGCAAAAAAUCCUUGCGCUCAUUGACUGGGAAGCCAAAAAAGGCUCUUACCCUUGCAGGAUCUUGAGUAAGGAAAGUGUAGGCUGUGUAUCUUAAGUGCCGCUCAACUCCUAUCUUCACAAGUUCUGCAUAAACUUCUCUCUCUGAGUAAACAUGCUGUCUAGCUCUCUCAAUAAUAGCAUUUCCCUCCCUGAUUGCCUCUGCAACAUCAUUAAUAGCAUCCUUGAUGCUCUUAAAUUUCCUCUCCCAUGUACGGGCCUUUCGCUUUCUGUCUUUCGGUAACAUUACAGGCUCAUCACAUUGUGUGUGGUAAUACACAAGGAGCAUACAGAUGGCAUGUACAACAUGACAAAGAACUUGAGCCACAGCCAUUCUUCGCCUUCGAUCCCAAAGCUCCCACCAAUUUUCUUCAUCAUCAUCUCGUCUAUUUUCACAACUAUCAAUCUAUCACAAAAUCUUUUGUUAAACUCAGAACCUUGAUCUAUAAUAUUCCAUAGGGAAUCCAAUGUGACACAAUCCAAAUCUAACUUAGGCUCAUGGUAUAACAAUCAAAAAGAAAAUCUAACUUAAGCUCAAAAAUUAGACUUGCACAAGAAAUGACAGGAGUUGAUUCUUUGUUUAUCAAGAAGUAGAUUAAAAAGAAAUGCUUCGAUUAUUACAAGAAUCUAAACCACAUAAAACCAACAAUUCAUACAGAAAAUCAUUGUAAUGUAAAGUUCAUAACUUUUCACUUCCUACACAUUUAAAUCGCCAAAUAUUACAAAUUAAAUAGCUUAAGCAUUGUAUUGAAAGGAACACGAAGCUAACCUGGGAAUUACUGGGGGUCAUGGUUUUGGGUAUUUUCUGCACGGACAGCUUCUUCUUGUUGGUGGUGCUGUUGAGCUUUUAAGAGAAAGGGCUUGAAACCAAUCUCGAGAGUUAGAUAGCCGAAAGCUAAGGCGCCAAUCACCACUAUCCCUGAUCUUAUCGCGUUCAGCCUCGUCUCUGGGUUCAUUCUCUUCCUUCUUCUCUGCCCUGCACACCCUCACAAUUAUAUUUAUAUAGCUCUAUAAUUUAUCCAAAAAUAAUUUACAAUCAACCGACGUCGUUUCAUAAAGCUUUUGACUUUCGCCCCUCGGUGCUGACCAAAGAUAAAGAAACCUACCUGCUCUUCUUCUCUGUAUCAAAAGCCAAAACCAUUAUUCAUAUUUCAGUUGAUCAAAAUCCAGUGGGCAUUUCUUUCAUCUUGGCCUCAUUUUUCACAGGGACGGUGGUGGGUUUGGUGAUGUUCGUAAAACAUGGCAUGAGUCAGCUAACAUCACUAAGCAGCGCAAGAAAUUGUACCUUAUCUUCCUCAGCGGUUUUGAGAAGGCAGCACUUCUUGAUAAGGUCUCUUGGAGGUGGAGUUCACAGUAAUUUCUGCACUCAGAACAGAAUGCAAGAAACUAAACCUUUGGAGGCUGAGGCGGAGAACAUCCUGAGAGCAAUUACUCCAACUCUUGACCCAACAAGACAUAAGGGCCAGGCAGGGAAAAUUGCUGUUAUUGGUGGGUGUCGGGAGUACACUGGUGCCCCUUAUUUUGCUGCUAUUUCUGCUUUGAAAAUUGGUGCUGAUUUGUCCCAUGUAUUCUGUACCAAAGACGCUGCUCCGGUUAUCAAAAGCUAUAGUCCCGAGUUGAUUGUGCACCCUAUUUUGGAAGAGUCUUAUAGUAUUGGGGAUGGGGACAAAAAAUACAUAUCAGGAAAGGUUGUUGCGGAGGUUGAUAAAUGGAUGGAGAGAUUUGAUUGUCUUGUUGUUGGUCCUGGCCUUGGGAGGGACCCAUUUCUUCUGGACUGUGUGAGUGAAAUUAUAAAGCAGGCAAGGCAGUCAAAUGUUCCAAUUGUUUUAGAUGGGGAUGGACUCUUUCUUGUAACAAACAGUAUUGAUCUAGUUAGUGGUUAUCCCUUAGCUGUUCUAACCCCAAAUGUGAAUGAAUACAAGCGCUUGGUUCAAAAAGUUCUAAAUUGUGAAGUAAAUGAUCAAGAUGCUCAGGGGCAAUUACUUUCUCUUUCCAGAAGGAUCGGGGGUGUAACCAUCUUACGGAAAGGAAAAUCUGACCUUAUUAGUGAUGGCGAGAUAGGUAUGGAAUACCUAAUAUGAUUCUGAAGUAAUUAUGCUUGUUUGUUUUUACAUUUUCUAGUCUUUCAGAUUUUCACUUGCUAAUUUACUAAGUUACCCGCUCAAACAGGUUAUGAUUUUUCAUAAGAUUUUUUUAAUUCGGAUGCUAUGUUACCAUGUAUCCCGCUCCCUGAAUCAAAUUAAAUGAGUCAAGGCAUUUUCACUUUCUUGUAGGCUUCAGAAACUACAUGAUUGCUUUGAUAUUAAUCGUUGUUAAUUUAUGCAGUCCAAUCGGUGACCAUCUAUGGUUCACCUAGACAUUGUGGGGGUCGAGGUGAUAUCCUUUCUGGAAGGUAAUUGAUUAUAUACAUAUAUUGUAUUCAAACAGCCAUUCCAGAUGUAUUCUUUUUUAAUGUAAUUAGUUCCACAAUCUCCUCCUAUUCAUUACUUCCUCUUUGGAAUGCUGUAAUUUUCUCAGGCUUUCUGGUUACAUUUCUCCUUGUAAUCUUGUUUUCCCUUGUCUAUGUUACGCAUUCUAAAAGAUAACUGUUCCUUAUUAGGUGGCUAACCAAUUUGUUCGCCAUUUUAUGCAUCUAUGUAGCUUUCAGAUUUGAAAAUCAAAAUGUGUUAGUUUUAAAUUGAAUAUUUGUGAUACAUCCUUUUUGUUGGUGUUAGUGUUGCAGUAUUUUUAUCUUGGGCAAACCAAUAUAUCUUGGCUGCUGAAGGCAAUGUGACCAUCAGACCAACAAAUCCAACAGUGCUAGAAUGCAUUGCUGGGUCUGCUUUAUUGAGGAGGGCUGCAUCACUUGCUUUUGAGAAUAGAAAAAGAUCAACUCUCACCAGUGACAUCAUUGAAUGCUUGGGAAGAAGUUUGGAGGAUAUUUUUCCAGCCUGAUAAGGCUGUUGACAAUGGCGAGAAUUUCACAUGAGCUGUUGUUAUGCAAAGAGCUAUCCCUUAAUUCUGCUGGCUUUUAAUAUUUAUACUCCUUUCACAUUGUACACAGGCCUCUUGAAAUUUUAGUCUGAUGCUCAGAAGGAUAUGCUCAUAAAUCUAGUGUUUUCUGAAACAUAAUAAAAUAAUUGAUGAUUUGGUCAAUGAACAAGAUUCUCAAUUUGGCUUGUGGUUAUAUUAAGAUUCUUAAAAUUCUAGUGUUUUUAAUUUUAUCUCUAGGCAACUACGUUUUGUGUUAAUUAUUCUGUUAUAAUUUAUAUUUGCAUGUGAUUGUGAAAAUAUGAUA
rnacentral:misc_RNA from 1 species